rnacentral:lncRNA from 1 species
GGGAAAACAAAAAAAGAAAGAAAAAGGCAGGCAGAGCAGUGGCAUGGAGAAAGCACAGGCCUUGGGUGCAGACAGAAUCCCGAUUCCACCACGUGUUACCUGUGUGACCUUGGGCAAUCCUUCGGAGCCUCAGUUUCCUUAACUACAAAUUGGGGUUACUGAUCUCCAACUUCCCCGAAUCUUCAGUAGAAUCAUUUCCAGGCCCAGAUCAAGCAAUUCCUUAUACAGGAAGUAAAACGUCUUCGUUCUGGGAAAUUCAGUUGCUGUUGUUGGUGCCUUCGCGUCGAUUCUGACUCCUAGGUGCCCUGUGUCCAGCAGAGUGGAACGCUGCCUGGUCUUUUUGCGCCACCCUCUCACCUUCCGGUGCUACAUCAGACAAUGCUCUGCUGCUAUUCAUGGGGAAAUUUAGAGGAUGCAGGUAAACACAAAGAAGGGAAUAUAAGCUUUGUGCAAAGCAUCUAGCACAUGCCUGGCAUACAGUAGGUGUUUUGACAACACCAUCUUGGCUCUCAGACUUCCCUAUGUCAGUAUCGUCCUGGAAGAAAGUAACUUUAGCCAGGGGUGACUCCAGCCUCAGCCCAAGAAAACCCUAACAAGAGAAAGGGAAUCCUGGGAAGGGAGCAGGAGGUGGAUUCCUCAGGUCAAGAUCAAGAGCUAGUGAACUGAAGUUAGACCUGCCACAAGCUUGCAGGGAGAUCCUGGGAAAACCACUUAACUUCCUGGAGCCACAGCGUCUCACCCGUAAGACAGAGGUUGUCAAGGCCGACCUGCCAGUAUCCUUGGGAGGACCACGUGAUAUGUGGGCAUGGGAAUGCCCACUGUGGUGCCAGCCAUUGGGAGGUGCUCAGGAAAUGGGAGUUAGCUUGGAUCUGAGGCUGGGAACUCCCUUUCUGAGCUCCUAUAAGACGUAAGGUCACUCACAAUUGUCUCCUGUCACUAAGGGGCUGUGUAAGGCCUGGCUUGGAGCCCAGCUUUGUCACAAAGGUACUAUGCGAAUUGGGUAAGCCUCUUCCUCUCCAGGGCUUGGAUUCCUCCAUUUGUGAAAUGGCCAGAUUAGGGGUCCAAAUCUGAAUACCCCACUGGAGCAGACAACGCACGCCUUAUUUCUUGCACAUGGAAGAUUCGCCACCACCCGUACCUGAUUCAUCUCUGCCUCAGGCCACGAGUUUUCAAUCUUUGGUUAAGACAGUCUCAGAGGCCCUUCCAUAGCUGACAUUCAACUACUUUCUAAUUCUGGCUCUGCAAGCUAUGUCAAGCUGUGUGACUCUGGGAGACACGUCUGCCAAGACCCUCCUCUACUGAAAGGCCAAGAAAGAAUGACGACAGACCCUCUCCCCAGGGAAGGGCCCAUCCAGACGCUGUGCUCUUGAACAUUAUAGCAAACACAUGCCCAGGCUGCAGUAAAAGGACCCAAAAUCCAGCUCUCAGCCCCUGUCAGUUCAGCCCCCUGCUCCACGCCAGAAAAAUCUCUUCAACAGGGUACAGAAUAAUAACCUCGCUUGUGUCCA